GCAGGUGUCUUACAGCGACAUCUGUCACCCCAUUGAUCACCAGGGUGGAUUCGGCUGAUCUGGCUGGCUAGGCGGGUAUCCCCUUCCUCCCUCACUGCUCCAUGUGCGUCCCUCCUGAAGCUGCACGCUUGGUGGAAGAAGACGACCAUCCCAGAUAGAAGGAGUGUACCGUUCUUCAGUCAAGGGUAUACGAUAGCUGCGCUCCCCUGCUAGAACCUCCAAACAAGCUCAACUUCCUCCUCCUUAACCCCCCUAUUUUUUUUUUUUUUACUUCUUUUUAUUAGUUUCAAUUCACUAUACAACACCAAACAAU